UACGAAGGGUGCAAGCGUUACUCGGAAUUACUGGGCGUAAAGCGUGCGUAGGCGGUUCGUUAAGUCUGUCGUGAAAGCCCUGGGCUCAACCUGGGAAUUGCGAUGGAUACUGGCGAGCUAGAGUGCGGUAGAGGAUGGUGGAAUUCCCGGUGUAGCGGUGAAAUGCGUAGAGAUCGGGAGGAACACCCGUGGCGAAGGCGGCCAUCUGGACCAGCACUGACGCUGAGACGCGAAAGCGUGGGGAGCGAACAGG
rnacentral:rRNA from 1 species